UUGCAGAGACGCAACAGAAGCUAAAGAAGCAACGGGACUCUCAGCGCUUAAAUGGGGGCUGUGUGCAAAACAUAAGCUCAGAACCAAAAUUAGGCUUUGAAAGAAUAAGUACUACAUUCAAAAGCUAAGAGGAGCAGAUGCUCAGUAUUUUCCGCAGAGCUUAGUGCUUUAUGAGUGUCCUGCAAAGCCACGUCCAGGGCUGCUGGGCCAGAUUAGAUCACCGGGCGCUGGGGAGAGACCACAUCAAGGACGCUUGGGCGGGAACCCAUGGCCACGAAGGUGGCCCGUCCCACUCUCCGGUGACACCGAAGCUACAUUCGGGAACCAGCUUGCGAGACGGAAGACCGAUCCCUACCCCAGAUUGAGCCAACAAAGUAUUUUUCACUAAAAUUUUACAAAAAUGCAGGUACGGCGAGCGGCACAGUGCUUUGAGCACGUACGUGAUUUGAACGUGACACAAAGGAAGAAAUCCGUUCGGCUCUGUCGCCGACAAACACCACCAGCUCUAAACUGUGCAAAACCAAGAAGGAUUGCAGUGUGGACAGACAGGGAGCAGGUACGUAUUUAAGGAGAUUUCACCAGGAUGGGAACCAGCACCCUGCUUUCUUCAUCAGCAAAGUCUCGCUUUGGGGAGAAAACCACCAAACAUCUGAACCAGCUAGCGCUUAGUGGCACGGUAAACAUGACGAGUUUUGUAGCAGUUGGGCACAGAGUGGCUCUGUCACAACAGCAGUUAUCUCAAAGCCAGCCUGCUAACUUCGAAGGUAAUCUCUUUGUAAUCAUAGGAGGCGGAUUACAAACAUCCGCUGUGAUUCUUCGAGCGCCGUUAAGCACCGAAGGGCAAGUUGUAUCCGGAGUGUUUUAUGUGUGGAUUGAUCACCUAGUGCCCUGAGUGAUAAGAAACCAGCUUGGUCCCAAUACUUUAAAGAGCAGAUUCGCACAGACAAACUUGUUUAUUUCCAUGAUGCCUUUGGGAUUUUUAAAGUCCUUCCUGGGAGAAGAAUGCACAGACUGAAGGAAGAAAGAGGCCCUGGCCACAGCUGUCUGUCCUCCACACGGUGGCCGGAAGGUUCCCGUGGAACCGGGGGGCAGAGGAAGAGGGAGAGAGAAUCUCAAGCAGGCUCCACGCCGAUCACACAGCCCGACUCGGCUCGAUCUCACCACCGUGAGCCGAAAUUGAGGGCUGGACACUCAGCCGGCUGAGCCACCCGGGCGCCCCUGUCUGGUCGCAGGAAGUGAGACCGUCUCACCCACGUGACCAGCGUCCCACCACGGGUCACAGGUGCGUCCAGACCCAGAGUCCUGCUCCUGCUUCUGUCGUGUACUUGCUGUGUGAGUCGGAUCGAGGAGUUGGUAGCAGAGAGGUUAAGAAGCCUGUUCAUCUAAGUAGCGGGCACGAACCCACUCACCUCCUUAGCGUGUUGUUCUGAGAGAUGUGCCGUCCGCUACGUGCCCACGGAGCAGAGGGGUUGUGAUGGGCUCGGGUGAAUAACCCCGGGGGCCGGCGGGGAGCUGCGGGCCCUCCGUGGGGAAGGAGGUCGGUGCCCUGGCAGGAGGGCUGUUCUCUCAGGAACCUCGUCCACAGGACGGAGCCAGGCGGGAAUCUGAGGUUGGGCCAUCAUGUGGGUCACCUCGUCUCACCAGCCACGCAGGGGCUCCCUGGGUACAAGGAGCACAUCCUGAGCCCCAGCCCCAGGCAGGAAGCCCGGCCAGAGAAACUCUGUCAGCUCUGGCCUGUCGGCCGGUGAGGGACGCUCCAGCUCGCUCUGGUGGAGCCUGUCCACCUUCCAGCUCAGCCACUGAGCCGGGAACACAGGGAAGGCUUCCUCCCUCUCGGGGCACAGAGGUAAGACACCGGGGACCCUCAGGGCACUCAGUAAACAAAAUAGAAGUCAGGGCGAAUCUAGGCCCAUCACCUCUAUGUCGGUUUAUAAACACGUAUCUGCUAAAAUCGCGAAACGUACCUCGGAUGUGCUGGCCCACGAGCCCUGGGCCAGGCGUCUAUGCCUCGACCCCAGACACGCACACGUGAACCUGGCCACUCCUGGUCCGACGCCUUUAUUUCCUCAGAUGUGCCAACGUGCGGGGCACGACACGGCUUCCAGUUGAGGAGGGAGGUCAGCGCGGGUGGCGGGUUAGGAAUCGUGCACGGGAGGGGCCCGGGCGCCCCACGGGCCAGGCAGCUAAAGGCAGGCGGCCCCUGCCAGCUGGUCCAGGCCACCGUGCCCUUGCAGCAAGGACCCCCGGUACGGCGACUGCCCGCAAAGAGGAGAGGUCGCCCUGGUCCCCGACACCUGCCCCUGCUGCCGGUCGAUGCCCUGCCACCGUGAGGGGAGAGCCAGCCAGGUCGGCGCACUGCCGGAGGGUUCGCGGGCCGCCUGGACGAGCCGGCCCCGUGGUCCAAGGCUCGGCCCGCCCAGCCCAGCGCGAGACGCCCCUGCUCCGGCUGACACCCCCAAAUCCACCCACGGCCACCACUGCGGCCCCAGCGGCUCCGUCCUUCGGGGCCUUCGAAGUGACCUCCUGACUCACCUCCCCUGUCACUGUCGCCCUCCUGCCGUGUGUCCGGGGAGACCCUCGGGGGUGGCCCCGACCUGCCCCCCGCUCCAGAGGUUGACCCUGGCAGGACACUCAGACGCCCACCGCUGCCAAGGUGCCGGGUGAACGGUGACGAAAGGGGCCGCCCAGUGGCCCCGGGGAGCCCUGCACGUGCCGCUGGACGGAGGCUGGAGCCAGGUGGGCGGUGGGGGCCCAGGGCCCUCCGACGGCGGCUCGCACGGCCCCUGCGGCACCGAGCCUGGGGCUGCACGUGGAUGGAGCCUGGACGAUGAGGGGUCUCCUCCUGGCUGGCUGGAAGCCGGCUACACCCGCCAGGGGAGGGGGGCAGCAGAGCAGCCAGAGAACACCCAGAGGGUGAGGGGGGGGGGUCCCACUCCUGUGGCCUGAUGCUCCCCAGCUGGGGGAGAUUCAGAGAUGGGACGAAACAGAAAGAUGCAAAAUGUGUCGACCCUGACCCACUAGCUCACCUGGGGGGGGCAGCAGGAGCCCCACUGUGGGCUUGUGGGCAUGCCUCGUGAGGGUGGGACUGGGUGAGGCCCUGGGCCCACGAGGCCGGGACGUCCCUGUCACAGCAAAGGCAGGGGCGAGCGCCGUGGGAGGACCCCACCCCUAUACUGACUCUCAUGUGGGGGAGGGGGGCGGCGCCCAGGCCUCCCAAAGAAACACGGUCACAUUUUCCCCGGAAAUUCUGUCAGGUGUUUGGAGAAAUGGGGUUGUUUCUUUACUAAAACUGCCCGGGACCUAAUUACAGGAUGAGGAGUGCUGCUGGGCCAGGAAGGAAGAAGGUAAAUGAAUGUCAGGCUUCUUCUUGUGGAAAGAAACAGAAAGUGUUACCAGGAAUCAGUGGGUGGGCCCGAAAGGGGGAUAGAAGCCGAGGAAAUGAGGCAAAGGUGGAGGCAGGGGCUCGCGGCCGAGCAGCAGAGAAUGUGCUGGAAAAGGCAGCCGACCGAGGCCAUUCGCCCUCUGUGUCCUGGGGAUCAGCUGAGAAGCUGGUUUAAGGUGCAGGUUCUAGAGGCACCUGGGGGCUCAGUCGGCUGAGCGUCUGACUUUGGCUCAGGUCAUGACCUUGUGGCUUGUGGGUUUGAGCCCCACGUCGGGCUCUGUGCUGACAGCUCGGAGCCUGGAGCUUUCAUCAGAUUCCGUGUCUCCCUCUCUCUCUGCCCCUCCCCUGCUCCCACUCUGUCUCUCUGUCUGUCGCAAAAUAUAAAUAAACAUAAAUGAAGUGCAGGUUCUAGAACAUCAGCCCCCCUUCCUAAGCGCCAGGGUCUGGGAUCCCCCACUCCCUCAUUCUGUGGCACCCGACAUGGAGAUCCCGGGGCGAGGAGAAGGGCCCUCUCCUGCUGCCCACACCCGCCCAGACUGGCCCUUCUCUGCCUCCCCCUAAACCUGCCGUGACCUGGGCCCUGACUUCUAUUCCCCUUCCCGACCCCAUGUGGACCCACAUAUCAGACGGCUUCCUCUCCCUCCUACUGGGCCCCCAAGCCCCGCUCCAGCCUCCUCUGAGCCCCCUUCGCACCCACCCCGUGCCAGCCCCAACUCCUGACCUCUCUCUCACUCAAGACCCCGGGCCCCCCUGCUCAGACUCACAAGCACAUUCUUUUGCCUAGGGCUCAGCCUCAGCAGAGGACAGAACAAGGUCCCUCCUGGGGAGAACCUCCCCGAGACCCCUCCCCAAAUGCUUACCUUACGUCUCCCCCCGUCGGCAGCCCAGACCCUUGCUGGUUGCUUCUCUCUCUCUCAUCGUGCGGUCACAAGGGGGUCUCGCAGCUCCCGGACAGCCAUGCCCUCGGGAGCAGGGGUGCAGGGACCGGCAGGGGAGACCUGGAGACCCCCCUCAGACAUCCACGAGUUACUCCACGGAGCUGUCAUCCAGCAAGAUGACCAGACAGCAAAGGAUGCCAAGGAAGGACCUCAGCCGCCCCUUGGCAGGGCCGGAGGGCACGCACCCAAAUCAC